UACGUAGGGUGCGAGCGUUAAUCGGAAUUACUGGGCGUAAAGCGUGCGCAGGCGGUUUGUUAAGCCCGAUGUGAAAGCCCCGGGCUCAACCUGGGAACUGCGUUUGGUACUGGCAAGCUAGAGUACGGCAGAGGGGGGUGGAAUUCCACGUGUAGCAGUGAAAUGCGUAGAGAUGUGGAGGAAUACCGAUGGCGAAGGCAGCCCCCUGGGAUAACACUGACGCUCAGGCACGAAAGCGUGGGGAGCAAACAGG
rnacentral:rRNA from 1 species